CGCAGUUGGUUCCUUCACUUCACCGGCCGCCUCCGCCUCCGGGCCCCGCCGCCCCGGCGCCGGCGGCCGGCGGGCGGACAUGACACCUCAGCACGCUCAUCCGCCGCGUGAUACGGACAUGCGCCACGAACACGGUGGCCCCGUGCUCGCUGUCCGGUCGCAGGAGAGCUCCACCUUGCUCUCCCAGCGCCGCGCCGUUGCCGCCUUGCGGGGGACGGGAGGUUCGCCGGGUAUGGCCCGGCGCGCGUCGCUGCUCAUCCGGGGCUGUGGCGCUGGCGGCGGCUUCGGUACUUAUAUCUGCAUUGGCUGUUAGGCAUACAAGCCUGAAACCUCCAACACCUCAGCUGUUGAAGUUCAUGUUGAUCUCCGUCGGCUCUUAUUGUCACUGAGGACUUCAGUUAACACCAACAUUAUGAUGGACUUGCCUUUCCAUGCUACAUAUCCCGUAAGAUUUCAGUUUCUAUGUCUAUGUUUGGAACUGUUAUGGGUAGAGGAUCUUUGAUGUCAUCUGGAGGAUCAUAGUUUGGAUCAGCAAGAAAUGCAAGGGCGGUCACCACAUCACUAAUCAGUGGCCGACUGCUUGCUUCUUCUUGUAAGCACAUCGAUGAGAUUGCAAGUGCCUGGUAUAGACCUUUGAGGGGGAAUUUCUUCUCUAGCAAUGGAUCAGCCAUCUUCACAAACUUCCUCUUAUCUCUGAAGAAUGGUGCUGCCUGCAGAUAAACAAUAUUUAGAAGAGCAGCAUUGCAAUUAUAACAGUAUGGAUUUCUGAUCAUUUAAUUGGGUGCAGUCAGAUAUGAUUCCUAACAAAAGAAAUCUCAGUGCUGCAUAUUUGCUCGAAUGAGAAGUGAAGCUAGGCGUAAAGCUCACCCAAUGAACAAGAAUCUGCUCACGAGGAGGCUUUGUGGUGUCGAUUGCUCGCCUCCCAGUGAUGAGCUCCAAGAGAACUACACCAAAGCUAUAGAUGUCUGACGUCUUAGUUAGCUUGCCAGUCAUAGCAUACUCGGGAGCACAAUAGCCAUAUGUGCCCAUCACCCUAGUGCUGACAUGGCUUUUGUCGCCG